AUGAACGCCGGCGGCGUGCCUAAUACAUGCAAGUCGAGCGCACAGACGAGGAGCUUGCUCCUCUGACGUUAGCGGCGGACGGGUGAGUAACCCGUGGAUAACCUACCUAUAAGACUGGGAUAACUUCGGGAAACCGGAGCUAAUACCGGAUAAUAUAUUGAACCGCAUGGUUCAAUAGUGAAAGACGGUUUUGCUGUCACUUAUAGAUGGAUCCGCGCCGCAUUAGCUAGUUGGUAAGGUAACGGCUUACCAAGGCAACGAUGCGUAGCCGACCUGAGAGGGUGAUCGGCCACACUGGAACUGAGACACGGUCCAGACUCCUACGGGAGGCAGCAGUAGGGAAUCUUCCGCAAUGGGCGGAAGCCUGACGGAGCAACGCCGCGUGAGUGAUGAAGGUCUUCGGAUCGUAAAACUCUGUUAUUAGGGAAGAACAAAUGUGUAAGUAACUAUGCACGUCUUGACGGUACCUAAUCAGAAAGCCACGGCUAACUACGUG
rnacentral:rRNA from 1 species